rnacentral:lncRNA from 1 species
CUGGGGAAUGAGGAGGAUGCCUUGAGAAUAAUGCACCUAGAUUAGGAGCUGAAUUAACGGUCGGUUUCUGUUUCUCCCCUGGGUCUCUCUCUCUCUCUCUCUCUCUGACAGAGUUCUUCAAAUCUCUGCUUUUAUCUUUCUCUCUUAAUCUGAACGAGUACAACCCUGACAUCCCAGAAUGGAGACAGGAUGUGGGGAGAGUCAUUAAGAAGACUCUGCUCCAACACCCUUGGUGGAUUCCAGCCCGAGACACAGCAGUUCAGCCAUGCUGAUACUCCUAUCAGUAGUAUUCCUUGGUUUAGCAGUGUUUGUCAUCUACAAAUUCAAGAGGACCUGAGCCCUAGGACCAUGCCUCAGGACUACCUGGCAUGAUGACUCCUUGCUGUCCCCAGUCCACCUGGCCAUGCUGCUGCUCCAGUUUCAACUGUUCUGCCUGCGGCUAUGGAACCCUGACCUGUUCACCGGACGUGCUUGUUGCACCCUCGACAACUACUAUGAUUAUUAUUAUUAGACCAUGCUGGUCAUUUAUGAACAUUUUAACAUCUUGACCAUGUUCUGUUAUAAUAUCCACCCGGCACAGCCAGAAGAGGACUGGCCACCCCUCAUAGCCUAGUUUCUCUCUAGGUUUCUUCCUAGGUUUUU